GCCUGGGUGGCUCAGUCGGUUAAGCAUCUGACUUCGGCUCAGGUCAUGAUCUCGUGGUUGGUGGGUUCGAGCCCCGUGUCGGGCU
rnacentral:tRNA from 1 species